rnacentral:rRNA from 1 species
UUGCCGACUUCAAAUGGGUAUCUCAUAGUUGAAGCAAAUGGUGGUCUGAAUCAACAACGUCUUUCUAUCUGCGAUGCAGUUGCUGUGGCCUACUUGCUUAAUGAAACUCUUGUGAUCCCAAUAUUUCAUUUGAAUAGCGUUUGGCGCGAUCCUAGCAAAUUUAGUGAUAUUUUUGCUGAAGAUCGCUUUAUCGAGACACUCAGACAAUAUGUAAGAGUUGUGAAGGAACUACCAAAAGAUGUUCUGCUGCAUUUCAAUCAUAAUAUAAGCAGCAUACCAAAUAUGCGAACUAAAGCCUACUCAUCCCCAGAUCAUUAUGUUCAGAAGGUGCUUCCGAAAUUAAUGGAGUUAGGGGUUGUGCGCAUCGCCCCAUUCUCGAAUAGAUUGGCUCAGUCAGUUCCAUCGAAUAUCCAGGCCUUGGGGUGUUUGGUCAACUAUGGGGCUCUGCGGUUUGCCAAACCAAUAAGGGUUCUUGCAGACGAUAUGAUUGUUUGA